GAUCAUGGCUCAGGACGAACGCUGGCGGCACGCUUAACACAUGCAAGUCGAACGAGAGAAGAGAAGCUUGCUUUUCUGAUCUAGUGGCGGACGGGUGAGUAACACGUGAGCAAUCUGCCUUUCAGAGGGGGAUACCGGAUUGGAAACGAUCGUUAAUACCGCAUAAUAUAAUUGAACCGCAUGAGUUUGAUUAUCAAAGAUUUAUCGCUGAAAGAUGAGCUCGCGU
rnacentral:rRNA from 1 species